rnacentral:rRNA from 1 species
GACGACGAGGUAGAUAGGCCCGAGGUGGGAGCAUGGUAACAUGUUAAGCUGACGGGUACUAAUCGGUCGAGGGCUUGACCAU